rnacentral:rRNA from 1 species
CCUACGGGAGGCAGCAGUGAGGAAUAUUGGUCAAUGGGCGCGAGCCUGAACCAGCCAAGUAGCGUGAAGGAUGACUGCCCUACGGGUUGUAAACUUCUUUUAUAAAGGCAUAAAGUGAGGCACGUGUGCCUUUUUGGAAGUACUUUAUGAAUAAGGAUCGGCUAACUCCGUGCCAGCAGCCGCGGUAAUACGGAGGAUCUGAGCGUUAUCCGGAUUUAUUGGGUUUAAAGGGAGCGUAGAUGGGUUGUUAAGUCAGUUGUGAAAGUUUGCGACUCAACAGUAAAAUUGCAAUGGAUACUGGCAGUCUUGAGUACAGUUGAGGUAGGCGGAAUUCGUGGUGUAGCGGUGAAAUGCUUAGAUAUCACGAAGAACUCCGAUUGCGAAGGCAGCUUACUAAACUGCCACUGACAUUGAUGCUCGAAAGUGUGGGUAUCAAACAGGAUUAGAUACCCUAGUAGUC